rnacentral:lncRNA from 1 species
AAACUGAGCUUUCCCAUGCAGUCAACAUUAGGGUUUUAAACCCUAAACUGAACUUUUCCAAUCAGUCAGCAUUAGGGUUUUAAACCCUAAACUGAACUUUUUCCUUUAAUCAGCAUUAGGGUUUUAAACCCUAAACUGAACUUUUCCUUUUAGUCAGCAUUAGGGUUUUAAACCCUAAACUGAACUUUUUUCCAUUAAGCCAGCAUUAGGGUUUUAAACCCUAAACUGAGCUUUUCCAUGCAGUCAGCAUUAGGGUUUUAAACCCUAAACUGAAUUUUCCCUUUAGUCAGCAUUAGGGUUUUAAACCCUAAACUGAACUUUUUCCAUUCAGCCAGCAUUAGGGUUUUAAACCCUAAACUGAACUUUUUCCAUUCAGUCAGCAUUAGGGUUUUAAACUCUAAGCUGAACUUUUUCCAUUUAGUCAGCAUUAGGGUUUUAAACCCUAAACUGAACUUUCCAGCCAGUCAGCAUUAGGGUUUUAAACCUUAAACUGAACUCUUUUCCAUGCAGUCAGCAUUAGGGUUUUAAAUCCUAAACUGAAUUUUCCCUUUAGUCAGCAUUAGGGUUUUAAACCCUAAACUGAACUUUUUCCAUUCAGCCAGCAUUAGGGUUUUAAACCCUAAACUGAGCUUUUCCAUGCAGUCAGCAUUAGGGUUUUAAAUCCUAAACUGAAUUUUCCCUUUAGUCAACAUUAGGGUUUAAACCAUAAACUGAAGUUUUUCCAUUCAGCCAGCAUUAGGGUUUUAAACCCUAAACUGAGCUUUUCCAUGCAGUCAGCAUUAGGGUUUUAAACCCUAAACUGAACUUUUCCUUUAGUCAGCAUUAGGGCUUUAAACCCUAAACUGAACUCUUUCAUUCAGCCAGCAUUAGGGUUUUAAACCCUAAACU